CGCCACCGCCUCUCUUCUAAUGGACAGACAAUAGUCACCAAUAAUUGCGGGCCAUGGCGGAGCGCUUUCCCCAACCCUCGGUGGGCGGGGUCUGAAGCCUUUUGGAGACCCAGAAGGAUUUGUAAUGUUGAAUGAACACCUGCUCUGUGCCAGGCCCUGUGCCACCUGCAGGAGGAGGCAAACAGCCAAAUCCAGAAUGUGGGAUGUUAUACCAGACAAAUGGCCUAGUUUAUUCAUUAACGAAGGGCCUCGAGAAAAAAAGAAAGGACGACUGUUUGAGAAUAAAACUGCUUAAAAGACAGGACCAAAUGGAGUGUGUGGACCUUAUUUGGAUCAGACAGAACAGACCAGCUGUCAAAAAGACAUUUGUGAAAGGGGGAGGAAAUUUGAAUAUAAGCAGUAUUAGAUGAUAAUAAGGAGUUAUUGAUACUUUUAUUAGGGAGAGAUAAUGGCCUGGUGGUUAGGUAAAAUGUUCUAAUUGUUUAGAGGUGCAAAUGGAAGUAUUUACAGUAAAUUGCCACAGGGUCUGGAAUUUGCUUUAUAAAUGCUCUGGUAAAAAAAAAAAUGAGGAUAGGAGAAAAAUAAGUGGCAAAAUGUUGAUAGUGGUUGAAACUGGAUGAUAAAUACUGUGGGAGUUACGGAUAUUUUCUUCUGUAUAUGUUUGAAAAUUUCUGUAAUAAAAUUUAAAGUAGUGUCAUAUUCCUCA